rnacentral:rRNA from 1 species
UACGUAGGGGGCGAGCGUUGUCCGGAAUGAUUGGGCGUAAAGGGCGCGUAGGCGGCUUGGUAAGUCUGGAGUGAAAGUCCUGUUUUCAAGAUGGGAAUUGCCUUGGAUACUGCUUAGCUUGAGUGCAGGAGAGGUUAUCGGAAUUCCCGGUGUAGCGGUGAAAUGCGUAGAGAUCGGGAGGAACACCAUUGGCGAAGGCGGGUAACUGGACUGCAACUGACGCUGAGGCGUGAAAGUGUGGGGAGCAAAC